rnacentral:rRNA from 1 species
AUGAAGCUUGAAAAAUUCUGCUUGUGCUCCUCUAGUAGCCCUUUAGUCAUCUGGAUAAAUCUGAACUUGCUUGGAUUCCUAAAUCGACAGCAUAAUGAACUGUCGUCUUCGGAAUCACGUAAGCCGGAAGCAAUUUCGGAGAACAAAAGAUGUGUCAAUUCAGACUCUGUUGUGCUUAUCCACAGGGCAAGCACUCCCAUUUCUAAGAUUCAGUUUGUCAUGAUCUCCACACCGACAAUAGCAACACAUGCUAUUUUAUCCUUGUACAACAACUCAGGACUCAUCUGCACUGUGGUGAGUCAGUCAAUGAGUGCAGCUGAGACUAGAAACAAGAGAUCCUUUUCAGUUUUAUGCAUCAAAUCAUCUCACCAAGUACAGAAAUCAAAUCAUCUCACCAAGUACAGAAGAACACAUGCACUUGCUUACAUGACUUGGCUUGUUCUCUGGAUGCAUGCAGGUGAGAGAUAG